UGCGUGAGUUCCAAAUAUUUCUAACGGUCGCCCCAGCGUGAGUUUUUUUAUGCACGUGAUGUUAGAACGUUCUCUCCAUUCCAGAAUGUGAUUGUUAUGUAACAGUACAUUUAACCUGCGCUGCCCUCAAACCAAAGCACGCAGCCUGUUUUAUUUGUCAAUUUAAAAUUAUUUUCUAACAAGUUUUUUAUUUUCUAAUAACAGUUUGAAAUGAUGUGUGUUUCGCCUUAUUCAUUCACAUAAAAGUAGUCAUUUUUACUUUUGCGGACCAAUUAAUUUUUGGGACAUUUCUGACCCGGACAAAAUUCCCCAAACACUUCUCAAUUGUUUGUGCAGGACAUUUACUCAUCUGCCGUCCUGCAUACACGUGUUCAUAUUUUCCACCUGUCGCCUGCAUCGAAAUCAAAGUUGUUUUCGUUACCAAUAAUACCUUUGGUUAUGUGUGCGUUUCUAUCAAAGUGCCUUAAUACGUUAUAAUAGUUUCUGCAUGUCGUGUUAUGUCGUUUCUACUGUAACGUCAUGUUUUUAUGUACAUUCCUUAUAACCGCGGACAGGCGAUGUAACGUUACUCAUUUCAUAACAUUUAUGUUGUUAUACUCAAUGCUUAGGUAUCUAGCUACAUUCUCCUAUUAGCUCUGGAAAACAAUGCUAAUUUCGUCAGGGAAGUAUUAGCAUGUGUUGUAUUUCGAAGCUACCCUGGCCUUAUGACUCCCAAGUGGCACAGCGUCUCAGCGCUAGAAGCGUCACUACAGAGACCCAUCUUCAAAUCAAGACUGCGUUUCUAUCAAAGUGGUCCACCUUCCCUGUGGCCAACAUGGUUGCUGUAUGGACAGUGGAGAGGACUUGGACGUCUCGUUUGUCAUGCCACUUUACUGCCAGCUGUUAACAUUUCUUAUUUUGUAUAACGGGUCAUUUAGGAUGGUAGUAGCGUUGAUGAAAUGCAGUCAUAGCAGCAGAACUAGAAAGCAGUCUUUACUGUCACCAGGAAUGUGUACAUUUCACAAAUUGUGGUUGUCCCCCACUCCUGGCUCUCUCUUCUCCUGUAGCUCCAAGGCAUAGUGAUUGGUCUCUACUAUGUCUCCCACCAGCUCCUCUGUCAGAAACAACUUGAAGCACUCUGCCUCAGUUGGAAAUGGCAAGGGGCGUUGCACUCCAGACUGGGACUCAUCAACACAAUCAGCAGGGCCAGGAGGGAUGAAAUGGCUGUCAGCCUUCCAGCUACCACAGAACUGUACUUCAUCCACUGUCAGUCUGCCACCAUCACCACCAGCAUCUUCAAAGGGACCUGGGACUUCCUCAGUGGACAAGGGAAAUUCAGAUUCAGGGUUCUCAGUGGCUACAAGGUUGGGGGGCAGCUCCUCACUCAGUCAGAAUCUGAUUCCUGACUUUCAUACUCUGACUCAUUGUCAGAAUUUUUAAAAAAUCUCCAUAAUUUCCACAUUUGUUUGUUGUCUCCUUUUGAAAGAUUGCUAAUGCUUCAGCUUAGCUCACUAGCUACAUACAUAAACAACAACACUGAAUGGUUUACAGUGAGAGGGUACGUGGUUGACUGCCGGCACGCGCCACUUGUAUCAAUAAAUCACUAUCAGAAAAUG